rnacentral:lncRNA from 1 species
AUGGAUUCCAGAAAGUCUACAACAGUGCGGAAUUCAGAAACAGGGCAGUCUUUGCUUCCACUGCAGCAGGGCCCUCCGGAGUACUCCGAUGCUGGAUUCCCUCUCUCACACAGCUAUCCAGGCACUCCCCAGCAAUACGGAGCUGGAUCUGGCCUGUACACUCAAGGGUCAUAUCUUGGGCAGAAUGUGGUCAGUGUGCAACCUACCGUUGAAGUGUUCACUCCACUGGCCAAUCCACUGCCAGAUUACCUGGGCUACUCCAUCUUUACCAUGAUGUGCUGCUGUUUACCUCUGGGAUCGGCUGCUCUUGUUUACUCCAUCACAACUCGAGAUGCUAACAUGUUUGGACACCAGCAAAUAGCAAGCAGAAACUCUAGAAUGGCACGCAUCCUCAACCACAUCAGUGUUGCUGUUGGCCUAAGCUUCAUUUUGAUUAUUAUAAUCUACCUCAUUCUUGCUGUUGUCGUAACUACUACACGCUAUGGCAAACCGUAAUUGUAAGCAAUGUCAUGGUAGGACACCAUAAAGUUGAAGAAAGUGAGGGUUUUAGAAACAUGAGUAUCUUAUGUUUUAAAUACAAGAAGAUUUUCCAUUCUGCUUUUAAAUGUUAAUUUUGCUCAAGGUAUUUUUUAUAUGAUUGCUUUUAGACUUUACUGUAUGUAUGAGGAGCUCCAUCUGGAGGACCAGAGAGGGAUGAUUCAGUAUGUUUAGUGUAACUCCUCACCAUAUCAUUGUUUAUACAUAAUUAAAAGACAUGCUUUUUAAAGUUAAUUAUUUUUUGUUUUAAAACAAUGGAAGCUUUAACUGUUAAAGUAAAUGCAGCAUCAAUUAAUUUUUUUUUCUGCUUGUCUUUAUAUUAGGCUACAUAAAACUUGGAAUAAUUAUGUCAUAACUUUUAUCAUUGUUGUUUUUCCUAGUUUAAUUUUAUUUUUUUAGUUUUAAAACUAAUAGGAAGUCUUAACUGUUAAAGUAAAUGCAGCAUCAAUUAAUUUUUUUUUCUGCUUGUCUUUAUAUUAGGCUACAUAAAACUUGGAAUAAUUAUGUCAUAACUUUUAUCAUUGUCUGUUUUUUCCAUAACACACUAACAUUUUCAUUUUCUCUGGUUUUUAGUUUAGUUUUAUAAUCUUCUUCAUCAUCAACAUCUUCUUCUUCUUCUUGAAUGAAUGAAUGAAACAUUUAUAUAGCGCUUUAUUGUGUAUUGCUGUACACCCAAGGCACUUUAUAAUCAUAUCAUGGGAUUUCUCCUCAACCACCACCAGUGUGCAGUCACCUGGUUGAUACGACGGCAGCCACAGUACAACAGCGCCAAUGCGCUCACCACACAGCUAUUCAUAGUUUCUGUCACGUGACUGGCUCGAAGACCUGGUGGGCAAAACAUCCACAGAACUGCAGCACAAGCCUGUCAAUUUUCUAUCUGUUCCAAUCAAAAAAUAUUUAAUCACAUCUCAAAAGAAUAAAACAAAGAUAUCUGAUCAAAAUGCAAGUCUUGUACACUGGCAAAUUCAUAUAGCCUAUAUUUCAAUCACUAAAAACACUUAUAAAUAUCUAAAUAGGCUAAAGUCUAAUCUCAACUGUAAAUCAGACACAAAACUAGGCUAUAAUAAUAUGUGAGCAGCAUGUAUGUACAUGAUUAGUGUGUUUUUGAGAAAAAAAAUGUUAUGCGUGGUUAGUGAAAAACUAAAAAUGUUAAAUCACUUGAAUAAGGCAAUAAAACACAUACAGAACAUUGGUUCCCGGGACUUUUGAGAACUGGAGCUUGUAGCCUAGAAUUUUUUUUUCUAAAUGAUGUGAAAAUCAUCUGUUUACUCACUUACAGAAAACAAUAUAUUGAUUUAAAUUUUCUAAGACACUUUUUGUUGGUAAAAGUCAUAUGCGAGUAGGCGUCAACUAUCAUGAAUUCACACCUGAGAAGACAAAGACCUGCAUAAUGAGCUGCAUAAUGAGCCAUUCAGUCAGCUGUGUCACUGAGAGGGAUGAGUUACAAGAAAGAAUGUGAGGACAAAAUAAAUGUAUAUAAUUUUAUGUUUGUAGUUUAUUUAGAAUAUAUUUAAUUAUCCCACAACACACUGAGUUACAGUUCAUUUUAAUGACGCAUUUGUAUCUGAAGAUCAGCGCAGACAAAGGCUGCAGACAGCACUCCUUGUUUGUUAUCUUUAUUUUAUAAGUGCACAAAGUUUUGUUGUUAUUAUGUCUGUAUACAAAAAAAAGUAGACCCUUUACAGAUUUGAUUGAUGUAUUGCACUUAUCUGUACGAUCAAAACUGAAAGUGUAAUUUAAGUUCUUUUCGGGGUUAUCAGGAGAAAAUACCCCAAAACGCGUAUACGCGUUAAUCGACUCCAGAGGGUUUUAAUGUGCAAACACUUAAAGUGCCUUUAAAACAGUGAUAUUAAAAGAUCUAAUUCAGUACACACCUUACUGAUGAUGCGUGCUUAAUGCAGGCAAGCAAAUGAGCCUGGAAUAUGAAGAAAAGCAUAUGAAGCAUACGGUGAUAUGGAGAGACACAGAGGAGACUACUGACAAAGGAAUUAUUGAAAAAAGUCAUUAUUUUAGUUUUCUUUGCUUACAAAAAGUGUUCCCUUUGCUUCAUAUAACCCAGAUUGCACGUCUGAUGGCAGAUGAAGUAUUCUGACGACGACUUUCAUACCUUCUAUGGACCUUGACACUGUUGUUUAUUUGGCAGUCUAUGGGACAGACACAGGCCUCCAGGUUUUCAUCCAAAAUAUCUUAAAUUGUGUUCUGAAGAUGAACGAAGCUUUUACAGGUUUGGAACGACAUGGGGGUAAGUGAUUAAUGACACAAUUUUCAUUUUGGGGUGGAGUAUCCCUUUAAUGGCCAAAGAGAGUCAGGACCUCAGUUUAAUGUCUUAUCCAAACGGCGGUGCUUUUUACUGUAUAGUGUCCCCGUCACUAUACUGGGACAUUAGGACCCACACAGACCACAGGGAGAGCACCCCCUGCUGGUCUCACUAGCAACACUUCCAGCAGCAACCUAGUUUUCCCAGGAGUUCUCCCAUCCAGGUACUGAGCAGGCUCAACACUGCUUAGCUUCAGUAGCCAUCCAGUCUUGGGCUACAGGGUGAUAUGACUGUGGCCAUAUCUUCUUACUUUUUAAAAACCCAGGGUUCUCCAAGGUAGCAGUCUUUACAAUUAAAGUGACCUCAAAUAAUCUCUAGCAACUGUUUAUUUAUAUUAUCUGGUUAUCACAAAAACCAGAAUAGGCUAUAAGUUAAUGAACAGAAAUAUCAAACCAUAGUCUUGGCCACCAAAUAAUGUAAUUAAUAAAUUAUGUAUAUCCUACAAAAUAUAUGACAACGUGAUAAUACAGUUCAAUUUAUUUACAUUAAUGCAUUUGUCAGAAAAGGCAUUUAUUAGUGUGUUUUCAAAAUCAUUUAAAAUUGUAUGUUUUAAUUUUAAAUAAAGGUCUAGUAAUUUUGUUGUGUUUUGUCGUUUUUAUUUGUUAUUGUAGGCCUUUUUUAAAUCUAUGUAGGCUAAUUUUUAUUUGUUUAUUUAUAUUUUUGUUUUAGUUAUUUUAGUACAUCA